CUGCUGCCUUCCGUAGGUGUCUGGACCGUGUCUCAGUUCCAGUGUGGCCGGACAUCCUCUCAGACCGGCUACCCGUCAUCGCCUUGGUGAGCCGUUACCUCACCAACUAACUAAUAGGCCGCGAGCCCAUCCCCAAGCGCAUUGCUGCUUUAAUCUUUCGAUACUAUGCGGUAUUAAUCCCAGUUUCCCAGGGCUAUCCCGCUCUCGGGGGCAGGUUACUCACGUGUUACUCACCCGUGCGCCACUAGAGAAUUA
rnacentral:rRNA from 1 species